rnacentral:rRNA from 1 species
AGUGAACGCUGGCGGUAGGCCUAACACAUGCAAGUCGAACGGCAGCACAGUAAGAGCUUGCUCUUACGGGUGGCGAGUGGCGGACGGGUGAGGAAUACAUCGGAAUCUACUUUUUCGUGGGGGAUAACGUAGGGAAACUUACGCUAAUACCGCAUACGACCUACGGGUGAAAGCAGGGGAUCUUCGGACCUUGCGCGAUUGAAUGAGCCGAUGUCGGAUUAGCUAGUUGGCGGGGUAAAGGCCCACCAAGGCGACGAUCCGUAGCUGGUCUGAGAGGAUGAACAGGCCACAUGGAACUUAGAACCCGUUCCGAAUCCCAAGGGAGGGCGGCGUGGGGAAUUUUGGAAAAUGGGGGCAAGCCUGAUCCAGCCCAUCCGGGUGGGUGAAGAAGGGCUUCCGGUUGUAAAGCCCUUUUGGUGGGAAAGAAAAGCAGCAGGUUAAUACCCCGCUGUUCUGACGGUAACCAAAGAAUAAGCCCCGGCUAACUUCGUG